rfam:Tupaia chinensis contig93290, whole genome shotgun sequence.
AUACUUACCUGGCGGGGGAGAUACCAUGAUCACGAAGGUGGUUUUCUCAGGGCAAGGCUUUUCCAUUGCUCUCCAAAUGUGCUGACCCCUGCAAUUUCCCCACAUGUGGGAAACUCAACUGCAUAAUUUGUGGUAGUGUGGGGCAGCAUUCACACUUUCCCCUG